CAUCUAAGCACGAAACUUGCCCCGAGAUGAGUUCUCCCUGAGACUUUAAGUCUCCUGAAGGAACGUUGAAGACGACGACGUUGAUAGGCCGGGUGUGUAAGCGCAGCGAUGCGUUGAGCUAACCGGUACUAAUGAACCGUGAGGCUUAACCUUACAACGCCGAAG
rnacentral:rRNA from 1 species